rnacentral:rRNA from 1 species
UACGAAGGGUGCAAACGUUGCUCGGAAUUAUUGGGCGUAAAGCGCGCGUAGGCGGCUUGGCAAGUCGGAUGUGAAAUCCCUCGGCUCAACCGGGGAACUGCGUCUGAUACUGGGUGGCUUGAAUCCGGGAGAGGGAUGCGGAAUUCCAGGUGUAGCGGUGAAAUGCGUAGAUAUCUGGAGGAACACCGGUGGCGAAGGCGGCAUCCUGGACCGGCAUUGACGCUGAGGCGCGAAAGCCAGGGGAGCAAACGGG